GUUGUAACGGGGCUUGGGUUAAGGUGUGGAUAUUCAAACAAAAAUGGGAAACAAGUGGUUUUUGGUUCAGAGUCAAUGUUACUAUCAUGUUCACUGUGUUGGUUUGUUUUUCUUUUGUUUUUCGCUCGAUUUCUCUUUUUUUUCUUUCUAUUUUUCAAUCGAGUGCCCUUCUUUGGCCCGUACUUCUUUUGAACCUUCGAG
rnacentral:lncRNA from 1 species